rnacentral:tRNA from 1 species
AUAGUGGGUUGCCCGGGAUUCGAACCCGGAUUAAAAGCCGAGUACUCUACCGUUGAGUUAGCAACCC